rnacentral:rRNA from 1 species
AACGAACGCUGGCGGCGUGCCUAACACAUGCAAGUCGAGCGCGAAAGUCCCUUCGGGGGUGAGUAGAGCGGCGGACGGGUGAGUAAUACAUAGGUAAUCUACCUUCGAGCUUGGGAUAACCCUGCGAAAGUGGGGCUAAUACCGGAUAAGACCACGUAAUUAUUUUACGGGGUAAAAGGUGGCUUAUUUUUUAAAUGAGCUAUCACUUGAGGAUGAGCCUGUGGCCUAUCAGCUUGUUGGUGGGGUAAGAGCCUACCAAGGCUAUGACGGGUAGCUGGUCUGAGAGGACGACUAGCCACACUGGGACUGAGACACGGCCCAGACUCCUACGGGAGGCAGCAGUGGGGAAUAUUGGACAAUGGGCGGAAGCCUGAUGCAGCAACGCCGCGCGCGGGAUGACGGCCUUCGGGUUGUAAACCGCUUUCGCCUGUGACGAAGCGUGAGUGACGGUAAUGGGUAAAGAAGCACCGGCUAACUACGUGCCAGCAGCCGCGGUGAUACGUAGGGUGCGAGCGUUGUCCGGAUUUAUUGGGCGUAAAGGGCUC